rnacentral:rRNA from 1 species
UCAGAACGAACGCUGGCGGCAGGCCUAACACAUGCAAGUCGAGCGCUCACUUCGGUGGGAGCGGCGGACGGGUUAGUAACGCAUGGGAACGUACCCUUUUCUACGGAAUAGCCAUUGGAAACGAUGAGUAAUACCGUAUACGCCCUUUGGGGGAAAGAUUUAUCGGAGAAGGAUCGGCCCGCGUUAGAUUAGAUAGUUGGUGGGGUAACGGCCUACCAAGUCUACGAUCUAUAGCUGGUUUGAGAGGAUGAUCAGCAACACUGGGACUGAGACACGGCCCAGACUCCUACGGGAGGCAGCAGUGGGGAAUCUUAGACAAUGGGCGCAAGCCUGAUCUAGCCAUGCCGCGUGAGUGAAGAAGGCCCUAGGGUCGUAAAGCUCUUUCGCCAGGGAUGAUAAUGACAGUACCUGGUAAAGAAACCCCGGCUAACU